CGCGUAGACAACCUGCCCUUGAGUGGGGGAUAGCCCCGGGAAACUGGGAUUAAUACCGCAUGACAUUUUGAAGACAGCUGUUUUCAGAAUCAAAGGUUUCGAUCGCUCAGGGAUGGGUCUGCGUAGCAUUAGUUAGUUGGUAGGGUAACGGCCUACCAAGGCGACGAUGCUUAGCUGGUCUGAGAGGAUGAUCAGCCACACUGGGACUGAGAUACGGCCCAGACUCCUACGGGAGCAGCAGUGAGGAAUAUUGCGCAAUGGAGGCAACUCUGGCGCAGCAACGCCGCGUGAGUGAAGACGGCCCGAUGGGUUGUAAAGCUC
rnacentral:rRNA from 1 species